CAAGAAGAGACCCUAACCGGUCCUCUCAACCCUGCCCAUCGUACCUUUUUUUUGUUGUUCCCUCGGCGGCGCCCGCGGGCCCCGCCGGCGGGAAGACCAAACAAACCCUUUUGCAAACAAGCAUAUCAAAAUCUCUGAUCAAAACAUGAAUUGUCA
rnacentral:misc_RNA from 1 species